AAAAAUGGCGACACCCAGACGAAUCGAUGUUCGAAAUUCGAAAUUGUAGUGUGUAUGAUGUAUUCGAACACUGUUGACAGCUGCUGCUCACUUCGAAAAUCCAACACAUUCGCUACAGCAACACCGAUCCAUUUGAAUAAACAAGUAAACAAACACGAUACAAGAAACGGACCACUUUGGAAUUAUUUUUCUUCAAGUUUUUGAACAUAAGAAUGGCAAUUACUUUAUUUUUAAUUCAGUUUCAUUUAAAACAACACAAGGAACAAAAUUUCCAAAUGAUUUCACUCGAUCCAAAUAACUGGUGUUUGUAAUUUUUUGUUAAAAAUUUCAUUAAGAAUUGUUCUUUUGAUAUGUUUGAGCUAUUGGAAAGUAAAUAAAUAUGCAAAUAGAUUUUAUUUUGGUUUCUUCUUGUUUUUUCUCUCUCUCUCAUUCUGUCCAUUUCUUUAAUUUUUUCUAGUGAAUCACGUGAAUCAAUCAUUUGGCCAACUUUGGAUGCAAUCUCUUUCGCUAGCCAUGGUUUGAAAUUUUCAUCGGUGUUUAACAGGUGUUUAUUCGUAAUGUCAGCAUCAACGGUGCUUAGUACGUCCGGCAGCAGCGUUGUAACAUAGUUAUGGAGCAAUUUGGCAGCAUUAAUCUCGUCAAUCGUUUGACCAUUGUUGUUGUGUUCAUCUGUGUCAUCCGCAUCCAUGUUCGGCCAUUUCUUCUUCUUGCAUAAAUUCACUGAGCGCUUGUUUCAUUGUCAUUUCGACCAGAGCGUCUAAAAUUGGUUGUACUUCCUCGUCGAAAUUGUACAAUUCAUCGAUAUCGGUUUCGGUUGCAACAUCAAU